AGAGACAGCAGUAGCCACGGUAAUACGUAGGUGGCAAGCGUUGUCCGGAAUGAUUGGGCGUAAAGGGCGCGCAGGCGGCUGUGUAAGUCUGUCUAGAAAGUGCGGGGCUAAACCCCGUGAGAGGAUGGAAACUGGACAGCUGAGAGUGUCGGAGAGGAAAGCGGAAUUCCUAGUGUAGCGGUGAAAUGCGUAGAUAUUAGGAGGAACACCGGUGGCGAAAGCGGCUUUCUGGACGACAACUGACGCUGAGGCGCGAAAGCCAGGGGAGCAAACGGGAUUAGAUACCCCUGUGUCCCUGUCUCUUAUACA
rnacentral:rRNA from 1 species